AUUGAACGCUGGCGGCAGGCCUAACACAUGCAAGUCGAACGAGUCGCGGACGGGUGAGUAAUGUCUGGGAAACUGCCUGAUGGAGGGCGAUAACUACUGGACACUGUUACUACUACCGCCUACCAUCGGAUGUGUCCAGUUUGGAUUGGCUAGUUGGGGGGGUAACGGAUCACCAAGGCGACGAUCCCUAGCUGGUCUGUGAGGAUGAACAGUAACACGGGAAAUGAGACACGGUCCAGACUCCUACGGGAGGCAGCAGUGGGGAAUAUUGCACAAUGGGCGCAAGCCUGAUGCAGCCAAGCCGCGUGUAUGAAGAAGGGCUUCGGGUUGUAAAGGACUUUAAGCGGGGAGGCGUUACCCGCAGAAGAAGCACCGGCUAACUCCGUGCCAGCAGCCGCGGUAAUAC
rnacentral:rRNA from 1 species